rnacentral:rRNA from 1 species
CUACGGGAGGCAGCAGUAGGGAAUCUUCGGCAAUGGACGAAAGUCUGACCGAGCAACGCCGCGUGAGUGAAGAAGGUUUUCGGAUCGUAAAACUCUGUUGUUAGAGAAGAACAAGGAUGAGAGUAAAAUGUUCAUCCCUUGACGGUAUCUAACCAGAAAGCCACGGCCAACUACGUGCCAGCAGCCGCGGUAAUACGUAGGUGGCAAGCGUUGUCCGGAUUUAUUGGGCGUAAAGCGAGCGCAGGCGGUUUCUUAAGUCUGAUGUGAAAGCCCCCGGCUCAACCGGGGAGGGUCAUUGGAAACUGGGAGACUUGAGUGCAGAAGAGGGGAGUGGAAUUCCAUGUGUAGCGGUGAAAUGCGUAGAUAUAUGGAGGAACACCAGUGGCGAAGGCGGCUCUCUGGUCCGUAACUGACGCUGAGGCUCGAAAGCGUGGGGAGCGAACAGGAUUAGAUACCCUGGUAGUCCACGCCGUAAACGAUGAGUGCUAAGUGUUGGAGGGUUUCCGCCCUUCAGUGCUGCAGCAAACGCAUUAAGCACUCCGCCUGGGGAGUACGACCGCAAGGUUGAAACAUCAAAGGAGAGCUCCCAACGCGUUGGAUGCAUAGCUUGAGUAUUCUAUAGUGCCCCACAAAAAAAAA